AAAAAAAAUAAAAAAAAAAAAGAAAGAAAGAAAGAAAGGAACAAAAGCAGCUUGAAUGGGGCCCAUAAAAUGUCCUCUCAAAAGACCCCCAGAUGUGAUUUUAAUCUUUCUUCUACUGCACUAACAUAAUUAAUUUUCGAUUUUAUGAUUUCCAUUUUUUUUUUUAUCAAAAAAAUAAUAAAAAUAAAAUUGGGGUUGUCGUUUCGAUCUUAUUUGGUCGCCAAAUCUUCCCCAAAAUUCUCUCUUCCAUAAUCAUGUUAGGCGAGAGAGCAAUCUGUGAAGGGUCGUCAUCUGGAUUGGCCAUCACCGCCGAUCAACAGCAGCAACAACAACAGGCAGGUCAGGCACAGGCGGGUACGGGUGCGGGUGUUCCUUUGAGCCGUUACGAAUCACAAAAGCGGCGAGAUUGGAACACUUUUGGGCAAUAUCUAAAAAACCAAACACCCCCCGUAUCGCUAUCUCACUGUAACUGUAACCAUGUACUUGAAUUCCUUCGAUACCUUGACCAAUUUGGUAAAACAAGAGUUCAUUCACAUGGUUGUGUGUUCUUCGGUCAGCCUGACCCUCCUGCUCCCUGCCCUUGCCCUUUGAAACAAGCUUGGGGUAGCCUUGACGCACUCAUCGGCCGCCUCCGCGCAGCCUACGAGGAGCACGGUGGCUCCCCUGAAGGAAACCCUUUUGGAAAUGGAGCAAUUAGAACGUAUUUAAGAGAGGUGAAGGAGAGCCAAGCCAAGGCCAGAGGAAUCCCCUACAAAAAGAAGAAGAAGAAGAGAAAUAAUCAGAUGAUGAUGAUGAAUAAUACGAACAAGCAGCAGCAGCUGCUGCAGCAACUCCCCAAUGAUAAUAAUGAUACCAACGCUCCUUUGACUCACAUCCCUUGAUUUUUCAAUCCAUUUCCAUGGAAUUGAAGGAAGGAAGAGAUGUGGAUUUAAUGGACUGAUGGAAGGGGAAGAGAGAUGGAGAAUAUUGGCGAAAAUUAAAGAAACAAAAAUGUGGAUUAUUGCUUUCUGAAAUAUACGGUGUUGGGAGUUGUGCAGAGGAUUUAAUUUAUAUGGGUAGCCUAGCUAGCUAUAAUUCUGGUUAUGAAUAAUCUAUAAUAUUGAGGCAGCAUAAUUAUAAUUAGAUGGCCCUUAUUAAAUUCUAUAUAUAUAUAUAUAUAUGUCGUAGCAUUGUCAUACAAUCUUAGGCACCUUUUUUUCUAUUAGGGUAAAGCAAACAAUUUCUAUUGUCUUUUACUGAUUGAAAAUUUCAAUUUAGAAGAGAGAAAGAACAUCAUGAUUUUAUA